rnacentral:rRNA from 1 species
CAGUCGCCGCGGGAAUACGAAGGGGGCUAGCGUUGUUCGGAUUUACUGGGCGUAAAGGGUGCGUAGGCGGAUUGUUAAGUCAGGGGUGAAAUGCCGGGGCUCAACCUCGGAGCUGCCUUUGAUACUGGCGAUCUUGAGUCCGGGAGAGGUGAGUGGAACUGCGAGUGUAGAGGUGAAAUUCGUAGAUAUUCGCAAGAACACCGGUGGCGAAGGCGGCGACCUGGUCCUUUACUGACGCUGAGGCGCGAAAGCGUGGGGAGCAAACAGGAUUAGAUACCCCAGUAGUCCCUGUCUCUUAUAC